rnacentral:rRNA from 1 species
GAAGACCAUCCUACGGGAGGCAGCAGUGGGGAAUAUUGCACAAUGGGCGCAAGCCUGAUGCAGCCAUGCCGCGUGUAUGAAGAAGGCCUUCGGGUUGUAAAGUACUUUCAGCAGUGAGGAAGGUGGGUAUGUUAAUAGCAUAUCAUUUGACGUUAGCUGCAGAAGAAGCACCGGCUAACUCCGUGCCAGCAGCCGCGGUAAUACGGAGGGUGCGAGCGUUAAUCGGAAUUACUGGGCGUAAAGCGCAUGCAGGUGGUUUGUUAAGUCAGAUGUGAAAGCCCGGGGCUCAACCUCGGAAUUGCAUUUGAAACUGGCAAACUAGAGUACUGUAGAGGGGGUAGAAUUUCAGGUGUAGCGGUGAAAUGCGUAGAGAUCUGAAGGAAUACCGGUGGCGAAGGCGGCCCCCUGGACAGAUACUGACACUCAGAUGCGAAAGCGUGGGGAGCAAACAGGAUUAGAUACCCUGGUAG